ACAAGAAAUCAAUGUCAACGCCGACGACAUUUACCGACUACAUCUCUCCUCGGUAAAUUUAUGAUGGGUUUCUGAUCAAUUUCCGAGAACAUAUGAUUAUUCUCGGAAUAUUAUCGGGACUUUGCGAUAAAUCAAUAUUCUCGGUGUUUUGUCAUAAACUAAAGUCGGUAAGUUGUCGGAAAGAAAAGAAAAUAGCGAGGAGCUUGUUUUCUCGGAAAGUUCCUAGAAUAUGUUGUCGGUAUCUUCUCAGGCCAUUCAAGAUCCCGACGAUUAAUUUUCUUCUCGGUACGUCGUCACAAAAACUGACAAAAAUUCGUCGGAGUUCUCUUGGUUUGGCAACUGAACUGUUUCCUACCAUUUAUCGAUUUAGUUGAGAUCCCACAUCUCUAUUUUUCCCAAUUCGAUUUCUCUUGAUAUCUUCAAAGACGGUAUAAAAUUAAAAACACGUGGCUUACCCAGAUGUGUUGUUGGAAAAAAGGAAGGGUCUGGAUGCAGAGCUUGAAACUUUUGUGGAGAUCGUAAAGUAAGAAAAAGAUAUAGUAUUUAAUUUUUCUAUUUUUUCCCUAUUUCUUUUACUUAGAAUAGAUCUGUCACUGUGACAAAAAAAAAAGAAUAGAUCUGUCAAAGAAUAGAUCUUCCCUUACGCAACGGUGUAAAGCGACUCUUCACGAGCUUCGGUUUCGUGUCUUCGGCUGGCCCCCUAGCAGUUGCUCUGUCUAGUGAUCUCUGCCGCCGGUUUAGUUUCCGUUCUGGACAGGGAGUUGGAGGAAAUGGUGAUGCUGCUUGUACUGAUUCUUCCAGUUUGGCCCCGAUUUGUUUUUUCUUUGAAGAAACUCUACCUAAGACCUCUUUACACCACCGCCUAAACUCCUUACACUGCCAUCGUCACCGCCAACUCCCUCCACCGCUAUUUCUGCUACCCCACCGUUACCGGCACCUUCGCAUCCUACACCAACACCGUCGCAUCUACACCAAUUAUUAAUAGGUUUAUUUUUAUUUCAUUUAGUUUUUGUAGACUUCUAAAUUUAAUUUGUUUAUUUUUUAUUUCGUUUAAUUGUUUUAGACUUUUAAAUUUAAUUUGUUUAUUUGUAAUAAAUAUUUGAUAUUUAAUAUUAUUGUGAGGUUUUUUAUA